UGGGGAAUAUUGCACAAUGGGGGAAACCCUGAUGCAGCGACGCCGCGUGAGUGAAGAAGUAUUUCGGUAUGUAAAGCUCUAUCAGCAGGGAAGAUAAUGACGGUACCUGACUAAGAAGCCCCGGCUAACUACGUGCCAGCAGCCGCGGUAAUACGUAGGGGGCAAGCGUUAUCCGGAUUUACUGGGUGUAAAGGGUGCGUAGGUGGUAUGGCAAGUCAGAAGUGAAAACCCGGGGCUUAACCCCGCGGAUUGCUUUUGAAACUGUCAAACUGGAGUACCGGAGAGGUAAGCGGAAUUCCUAGUGUAGCGGUGAAAUGCG
rnacentral:rRNA from 1 species